rfam:Myotis davidii contig318716, whole genome shotgun sequence.
GGCCUACCUUUUUGGGGUGAUCGAUCAUGGAGUCCAUGAUCGAUCACCCCAAAGAGGGAGGCC